rnacentral:rRNA from 1 species
AUUGAACGCUGGCGGCAGGCCUAACACAUGCAAGUCGAACGAGUGGCGGACGGGUGAGUAAUGUCUGGGAAACUGCCCGAUGGAGGGGGGUAACUACUGGAAACGGUAGCUAAUACCGCAUACCAUCGGAUGUGCCCAGAUGGGAUUAGCUGGUAGGUGGGGUAACGGCUCACCUAGCCGACGAUCCCUAGCUGGUCUGGGAGGAUGACCGGCCAAACGGGAACUGUGACACGGUCCAGACUCCUACGGUAGGCAGCAGUGGGGAAUAUUGCACAAUGGGCACAAGCCUGAUGCAGCCAUGCCGCUUGUAUGAAGAAGGGCUUCGGGUUGUAAAGUACUUUCAGCGAGGAGGCGUUACUCGCAGAAGAAGCACCGGCUAACUCCGGGCCAGCAGCCGCGGUAAUAC